rnacentral:rRNA from 1 species
CCUUUGGUGGUGGGGGAGUAGCCGGGCUACGCCCGGGUAAUACCGCAUACGACCUACGGGUGAAAGGGGGGGAUCGCAAGACCUCUCGCUAUUGGAGCGGCCGAUGUCAGAUUAGGUAGUUGGUGGGGUAAAAGCCUACCAAGCCGACGAUCUGUAGCUGGUCUGAGAGGACGACCAGCCACACUGGGACUGAGACACGGCCCAG